CCUACGGGAGGCAGCAGUGAGGGAUAUUGCGCAAUGGGCGAAAGCCUGACGCAGCGACGCCGCGUGGGCGAGGAAGGCCUUCGGGUUGUAAAGCCCUUUUGGCAGGGAAGAGCAAGGACUGUACCUGCAGAACAAGUCACGGCUAACUACGUGCCAGCAGCCGCGGUAAAACGUAGGUGGCGAGCGUUAUCCGGAAUCACUGGGCGUGAAGGGCGUCUAGGCGGCUUCGUGUGUCACCUGUGAAAGUCUUCGGCUUAACCGGGGGACGUCGGGUGAAACUACGAGGCUAGAGCCUCGGAGGGGGAGGUGGAACUUCAAGAGUAGCGGUGAAAUGCGCAGAUACUGGAAGGUACCUCGAUAGCGAAGGCAGCCUCCUGGCCGAUUGCUGACGCUGAAGCGCGAAAGCGGGGGGAGCAAACAGGAUUAGAUACGCUUGUAGU
rnacentral:rRNA from 1 species